GUACCAGGAACGAUUUCCACAGUUUUCGCAGUUUUGCGCAGUGGCGGGUUCUGGGAACGAAAGGUCCGAGAUCUUCCUGGGCUAGUGAUACUGUUCCCUCUCUUCCCGCAGCAAUGACUCAGGUGUCUGGCUCGCGCAGCCCACAGUGGGAAGCAUCGCAGUUGGUCCAAGAGCCCCGAGCCCGCGGGGCCGCCGUUCUCGCUCUCAUUCUUGCUCUCGGCCCGGGGACUGGGGUGGCCUGAGCCGAGGCUCCCGAAACCAGUCCUGCGGCUCCUGCGGUUCGCGAGGGCACCCUCUCCGCUUCUGCCUCCUCGUCUGCCAAGCGCGUCUGUUGCUCUCGCCGCUGCUGCUGCUGCGGGAGCAACAAGCCGGGACUCAGCCUCCUGAAUGAGGACCAGGAGGAGGAGAGGCCCCAUGAGGCAGUCUACAAGCCAGGAAGAGAGAUCUCACCAGAAACCAACCCUGAUGGCACCCUGAUCUUGGAUUUCAAACCUCCAGAAUGCCUGAAGUUUCACAUGAGGAAGACAGCAUGAAGAAAGUCAACGUCUGACUGUGUCUUUUCAAUGAUCCAUUAAUCUGAACCAUGAGGUUGCAGGUUCGAUCCCUGGCCUUGCUCAGUGGGUUAAGAAUCUGGCGUUACUGUGAGCUGUGGCAUAGGUCACAGACACGGCUCGGAUCUGGCGUGGCUGUGGCUGUGGCUGUGGCCGGCAGCCACAGCUCCGAUUCAACCCCUAGCCUGGGAACCUUCAUGUGCCACAGGUGCAGCCCUAAAAAUUUUAGACCAAAAAAAAAAAAAAAAAAGAAAGAAAGAAAGAAAAGGGAGAGCAGUGAACAGAAUUUACAGCAUCUAGAAUAAAACUAGGUGAAUGUUUGGAUGCCAUGUUCCUAUAAAGUCCAAUGAAGAGUAGAUUCUUAGGAAGAUUCCUUUAGAGUCUAGGAUUGUGUCUGAGCUCCUCAUCAUGAAUGGAGCACCGCCCCAUCUUGCAACACACUGUUCUCUCACUAGAGACCCUCCCGACCCCAUCUUGCAUGUGUAUAUAUCUGAGAAAUGCAGAGCCUAGUAAUAGUGACUCAGGGAUGUCACCUCAUGAAAAGAGAUCUCCUUGACAUUCCUUAGCAGUUCUUUCUUUCUUUCUUUUCUUUUUAGGGCCACGCCCACAGCAUAUGGAAGUUCCCAGAGUAGGGGUUGAAUCGGAGCCAUGGCCAUAGCAACGCCAGAGCUGAGCCUCAUCUUAGACCUAGACCACAGCUCACAGCAACACCAACCCCUUAACACCCUGAGCGGGGCCAGAGAUCGAACCUGUGUGUUCAUGGGUAUUAGCUGGGUUCAUAACCACUGAAUCACAACAGUAACUCCCUCCUUAGCAGUUCUUAAUCCAUACAGUACUAACCCCAUUUGUUGCACAAAAACAAGUAUACAGAGAAUUCACAGCUUUACUGAAAACACAAAAAUGUGCCCUAUAAAAACACAAUGCACUGUUUUCAUUUACCUGAUUCCUUCACGGCACAUUUGGUGAACUGCUCUUGUUGAUGUGCUAUGAAAAAUUUGAGUCUGGCAGAAAAACACUUUGGAAAACCUAUCAUAGGAAACAUGUCUUACAAGAUAGGGACUACAAAAUGCUGAUGACAGGGGCCCAUGCCAGUCCAAACAAAGCCAAGCCAAAGGAAGGCACAGGUGGAGGAGGCAAGGGCAGACAAUGCGAGGAUGGCAUGGGCUGCCUGAGUGUUUGGGGCUGCAGUGGCAACAAAGGAACCCAACUCCAGUUGGACUCCAAAAGAAAAUACAGCUAUAAUGGGUCCAUUCAAGAGUAUGACACAGGAUGACCCAUGGGAACGGGGGACAUCCUUCUGAGAGUGAAAGCCCUCUGAAACCUCCAACAGUUGGCCUUCGAAUUCUUAAACCAAACCGUCAGAGGGGAAGAAGUGAUUGGUUUAGUAUACUGAGUAAGUCAUGUCUUAAUAGAAAAAUACAACAUGUGAAUCUAUAUGCUACUGAUGAAAUGGAAGAAACUAUUUCAUUAUUGUCUAAAUAUCUUAGGAAACUUACUACUGCACCCCCCCCUUUGGCCCACCCUAGUGAGCGUGGACUGUACGUGCCAAACUCUGGCCUAGGCUUAUUGCUUGGCUCCUAUCUUCCCCCUUUUAGUAUUCUUUAAUCAUUUUCCAUGUCCUAGAUGCAGGCUAGCUAGUGAACUGCACAGUGUCCUUGCUGUUAAUGCUUUGACUGGUAACAGGAUAAAGAAAUGUUAGUGUCCUGACAGCACUCUAGCUGCUCUGCCCUCCUCACUAGAGCCAGUGUCACCCUGGUGAUGGGGGAAACUGAGCAGGGUAAAAAUUCAACCCCUUUCAAAGUCAUAUCGAGAGAAACAGCCUGCUGUUUAAAAAGCCCAUCUUCAGUCUGAAGUAAUAACAGGAAGGAACAUGAUGGAUUUUUAGAAAGAAGGUUUCCUUCAAGUAUGACUAAGGGGUCAUUCAUCCUCUGAAACCUCUUGAGAGUUAAAAAAGUGGUCUGGGAGCUCCCAUCGUGGCUCAGUGGUAACGAACCCAACUAAUAUCCAUGAGGACACAGGUUGGAUCCCUGGCCUUGCUCCAUGGGUUAAGGAUCUGCUGUUGCUGUGGCUGUGUCAUAGGCUGGCAGCUGCAGCUCUGAUUCAACCCCUAGCCUGGAAACUUCAUAUGUUCUGGGUGUGGCCCUAAAAAGAAAAAAAUAAAUAAAAAUACUUUAUUGCUUAUAGCACAGGGAAGUCUACUCAAUAUUCUGUGAUAACCUAUAUGGGAAUGGAUGUAUGAAUAUGUAUAACUGAAUCACUUUGCUGUACAGAAGAAAUUAACAUUGUAAAUCAAUUAUACUU
rnacentral:lncRNA from 1 species